UUUUGCAUCAGUUUUUAAACCAUUUUACCAAGUAUCCAUGCUUCAAAGUCAACACUUCCAUGUUUAAGAGGGAUCUAGCUUCUCCUGGCACAAAGUUUGGUAUUUUAAAAGAAGGGACUUUAUUAUCCAAGGCAGAGAUUCCUGAAGAACAGGUCUAGUACCAUCAUUUGAACAGAAAAACUCAUCAUCCUUCUGUGGGUGGGGUGAGCCACAUGCCUUGUGGUUUCACUUAAUUACUGUGCAGGAAUUGUGCUCUGGGGCCAAGCUACGGGUGCAUUUUGCUUUUCGUUGCAAUCUUAACAGGAAAUAAAGUCUGUGGACCUAAAAAAUUGUGCCCGCCAUUAAUGAGCUCUAUCUAUGUCUCACAGAGGCAAGCCAUGCAAACACUGGGUAUCAUUGAGGUACAGGGGAUUUUUCACUGUGAGUACACGGUCAUGAUUAAGUGGGCAGGCUUUGGAAUCUUUGGAUUUGAAUCUCAGGGCCACCACUUACUACAUGCAUGUGGAUAGGUCUAUCAACUUUUAGGAUUUUAAUUUUCUUACCUAUAAAAUGAGGCUUAUAUACCUACAUAUAGCAGGGCUAUAUAAAUGAAAGAAAAUGAUGUAUUUAAAGUAGCUAGUACUGUGAUUAUUAUAUGAUUCUCAAUACAUGAUGAUCAAUUUUUAUUAUUAAAAUGCGCCCAAGAUAAAUUUGCAUAUUUUCAAUAAUAACUUGGAAGCCAAGUGUGUGUUUGUAUAUAAAAUAUACUUUAACAAGAAAUCUUUCAUAAUUCAGAGAUCAUAAUAAAUUUUGAUAGAUAUUAUCAAUCUUUCAAGUAGGAGGUGCUUGUCUAUUCCGUUUUACAGAUGGAGAACCUGAAGCACAAAAAGUGAAUUUCCUGAUAUCACAAAAGAAAGUUUUCUUUUAGUGUUUUUAAUAAUAAAAUGAGGUCCAAGGUUGAAGUUAAAGAACGUGUUAAGUUGUAUCACAACCAAAGCAGACACACCGGUUUUGACCUGCGCUAGUUCAGUCCCUGCUUCGCUGAAAGGGUCGGCCUCCUCUUUUGAAGACAGGCGUUGCUUCGGAUUUGCAAAGAUUCAGAAACAGUCAAGGACAGCGCCUUCCUGAAAAACAGCCGCAGCAUUUAGCGCCAGAUUGUGAAGACAGAGGAGGAAAAUUACCUUUAGCAAACCUAACUAUCUGCAUGACAUUCUGCAUGCAUAAACAGAUAAACUGUUAGUUGAGAAACCAGAGUUUCUUCUAACAAAUGAAUUAAUAUAGCUGUUUAAUUCGUCUCCUUGUUCUAUAAAUACAAGCAGCUAUGAAGAAUGUGUCCAGUGUCUGCCGUGGUGGCUUCUGUGUGCGCGUGUGUUCUUUCUCAUGCGCUUCCUUGGUGGCAGGGUGCCCGGGGACUGUGGAGGGACAUCCUGACUGCCUCCCACUUCUCCUCCCCAGAACGCUUCACUGUUUCUGCUGAAAUCCCUCUAUUUAAAGGACUGAAAAUUCUCAUGCCCUAGAAACCACAGAAGUAGAACUUCAAGUGUUUCCCAAAGACAAAUAUCCCUAUUAAGAAGGGGACAGGACUUUGGCAGCCAUCUGCAAACUGUGGCGGGCAAUUUGGCUCCAGCAGCCAUCCUGCCUUGUAAAGAGAGAGCAAACAAUCCCUUUGUCCACAGCCCCUGGGCUUGCCUGGGCACCCCAGGCAGGAAGUGCUCUUUCAGCCCCCACUCUCCCUUCCAUCAAAGCCUUCUUUUUCAACAUAGUGCUUUCCUGAUCAUAUUAUCUGACUGCUCUAGUGAAACAGCCUUCCCUGUCCACCGCAAGGAGGAAUACCGAGCCGUGGCAAGACCACCUCCAUGCUCUGCCCUCAAAGAGCAAAGGGCCAGACACCAGCAUGGAUGGCUCGUAACUGGGGUGUGUGUAUAGAGAAGGUGCCCAAGGGUGAAAGGAGCUAAUAGUGAGUAGAACUAGUACAAAUUGGAUUUAACCUCACACAAAGCCAUUGAAAAUAUCAUGGUUGUAUGAAAUCUCUGCAGUUUUUACACAUUCCCUAAAAUAUAAAAUGAAAAAACUGGUGAGAUGAUUGGAUGACCUCAAACUUUCCAGUUCAUCUCUGUCUUUACAUGUGAAUUGUAUUCAAUUCCUUCCUUCUGUGUUAAAAGAAGCCUGGAAAGCCCUCCACACCCUGGUGGACAGGGUGGAUGGUCUUCCCACGGAGACAGCUGACAGCCACCCCACCAGCCAGGCUCUGCCACCCUAGAAAGAGGGCCUGGAAAUGUGCAGGUCUGGGUUUCUUGAUUUCCCCACUCCUAAGCAAAAGGGAAAGAGAGGGAAAGGUCUAUAAAAUGUCUUAACAAAAGAAGCAUGUAGGCAUUUCCAUUUCACAAAGCGUGUUCAACAAAUGCACUCACUGCUGAUUAGCACUGGAGGCGCGCUUUUCCGAAGUCCUUUUUGCCACCAGAUCUUCUUUAUCCUGGGAAGCCGGACACUGCUGAUUGUCAAACGCUGCUAAGUACCCAGAUUAAGACCUCUCCCCAUUUACCAGUUCCUAUGAAGCUGCUGAUUGUGGCAAGCCCUCCUCUGCCACUGCUGUCAUCCCGCAGCAGGACUUUCUUAAGGAAAACAAGCUCUCCAUUCUGCACUCUGCCGCAUUCAAAAAUAGGAUUUCAAGCCUUCCCCUUCCCCAGAUUCCUGUAAUCCUCAUUCAGCUGCCCUUGCAUCUGUGUCUGAGUCUGAACCAGGAACACUAAGAUUCUCCUUCAUUCAAUCUUCUUCCGUUUUUCUAACUCUGUUGGAGGAAAAAAUGCAAUACACCCAGCUAUGAAGACAGAGAAAGACAGAAAGAGACAUAGAGAGACUGAGAGACAGACAGAACCCACAGACAUGGCACACAUUUCUAUUAACGUCAUAGUCAUAGUCUAA
rnacentral:lncRNA from 1 species